UGAAGUAAGUAAGGGCGUACGGUGAAUGCCUUGGUGCCAACAGGCGAAGAAGGACGCGGCAAGCUGCGAAAAGCCUCGGGAAGCUGCAAGCAAGCGAUGAUCCGGGGAUAUCCGAAUGGGGUAACCUGAUCGAGGCAAUACUCGAUCGUUCAUACCUGAAUACAUAGGGUAUGAAACGUGAAACCCGCUGAAGUGAAACAUCUCAGUAAGCGGAGGAAAAGAAAGAGAAAUCGAUUCCGUAAGUAGUGGCGAGCGAAAGCGGAUGGAGCCCAAACCGAAGGUAUUCCUUCGGGGUUGUAGGACCACGUCAUAUUCGACCAUACUGGAUAGUAGAACAGCCUGGAAAGGCUGGCCGGAGAAGGUGAAAGCCCUGUAGACGAAAUCCAGAGUGGGAAUUAGUGGUAUCCUGAGUAAUACAUCACACGUGGAACGAUGUAUGAACCCGCGCGGACCACCGCGCAAGGCUAAAUACUAGUUGGCGACCGAUAGUGAACAAGUACCGCGAGGGAAAGGUGAAAAGAACCGCUGUGAGCGGAGUGAAAUAGAACCUGAAACCGUAUGUCUACAAAGUGUCAGAGCAGAGCAAUCUGCGAUGGCGUGCCUUUUGUUUAAUGAGUCUGCGAGUCAGUGUUUGUGGCAAGACUAAGGGCUUCCGGCCCGGAGUCGCAGCGAAAGCAAGUCCGAACAGGGCGCAAUAAGUCGCAGGUACUGGACCCGAAGCGGAGGUGACCUACCCUUGGCCAGGUUGAAGCAUGGGUAAAACCAUGUGGAGGACCGAACAGGUGAACGUUGAAAAGUUCUCUGAUGAGCUGAGGGUAGGAGUGAAAGGCUAAUCAAACCCCGUGAUAGCUGGUUCUCUUCGAAAUGCAUUUAGGUGCAGCGUCACGUGCUGAUGCGCGGGGGUAGAGCACUGACAAGGCUAGGGGGCACACCCGCUUACCAAACCUUAUCAAACUCCGAAUACCGUGCAAUGGAACGUGGCAGUGAGACAGUGGGGGAUAAGCUUCAUUGUCGAGAGGGAAACAACCCAGACCAGCAGCUAAGGUGCCUAAAUAACGCUCAGUGGAAAGGAUGUGGGAUUACACAGACAGUGAGGAUGUUGGCUUAGAAGCAGCCACCAUUUAAAAAAUGCGUAAUAGCUUACUCAUCGAGUGAUCCUGCGCCGAAAAUGAUUGGCGAUCAAGCGUUAUACCGAAGCUCUGGACUUUGCCGCAAGGCAGAGUGGUAGAAGAGCGUUGCAUGCGCGUCGAAGGGCGAUGGCGACUGACCCUGGAGCACAUGCAAGUGAGUAUGCAGACAUGAGUAACGUUAAGCCGGGUGAAAUCCCCGGCCGCCGUAAACCCGAGGUUUCCAGGGCAACGUGUUUCGUCCCUGGGUUAGCCGGGACCUAAGCCGAGGCCGAGAGGCGUAGGCGAUGGACAUCAGGUUAAUAAUCCUGAGCUCGCAACCCUUAAACUGGGGGGACGCAUGAGAAAAGAUGACUAGGUUAUUGAAUUCCGAGUUGAGUCCACGGACUCAGCGCAUCAUUGGAUCGAGUGCCAAGAAAAGCCCCAGCGUAUGCUAAGCGACCCGUACCGCAAACCGACACAGGUGGGUGGGUAGAAUAUACCAAGGCGUAAGAGUGAAACCUGGUUAAGGAACUCGGCAAAUUAGCCCCGUAACUUCGGAAGAAGGGGUGCCUGCAGCGAUGCAGGCCGCAGAGAAAUGGCCCAACCGACUGUUUAUCAAAAACACAGCACUCUGCAAAGACGCAAGUCGAAGUAUAGGGUGUGACACGUGACCAAUGCCGAAAGAUUAAGGCAAGGGGUUAGCCGCAAGGCGAAGCUCUAAACCCAAGUCCCGGUGAAUGUCGGCCGUAACUAUAACGGUCCUAAGGUAGCGAAAUUCCUUGUCGGGUAAGUUCCGUG
rnacentral:rRNA from 1 species